GAGUUUGAUCCUGGCUCAGAAUCAACGCUGGCGGCGUGCCUAACACAUGCAAGUCGAACGCGAAAGGGGCUUCGGCUCUGAGUAGAGUGGCGAACGGGUGAGUAACACGUGGGUGACCUACCUUCGAAUGGGGGAUAACGUCCCGAAAGGGACGCUAAUACCGCAUAACAUCCUGUCUUUGAAGAGAUGGAGAUCAAAGCUGGGGAUCGCAAGACCCGGCGUUUGAAGAGGGGCCCGCGUCCGAUUAGCUAGUUGGUGAGGUAACGGCUCACCAAGUCGACGAUCGGUAGCCGGCCUGAGAGGGCGGACGGCCACACUGGGAGUGAGACACGGCCCAGACUCCUACGGGAGGCAGCAGUGGGGAAUUGUUCGCAAUGGGCGCAAGCCUGACGACGCAACGCCGCGUGGAGGAUGAAGGUCUUCGGAUUGUAAACUCCUGUUGCCCGGGACGAAAUGCUCCGACCUAACACGUCGGAGCUGACGUACCGGUAGAGCCCG
rnacentral:rRNA from 1 species